UACAGCCAUAUCACAUUGAAACACUGGUUUUUGUAUGAUCACCAAAGUUAAGCAACAUAGAGUCUUGUCAGUACCUAGAUGGGUAACCACUUGAAAAUACCAGGUGCUGUAGGC